rfam:Salmo salar isolate Sally breed double haploid chromosome ssa15, whole genome shotgun sequence.
UGCACUCACUACUGUAAGUCGCUCUGGAUAAGAGCAUCUGCUAAAUGACUAAAA